GUGUUCACUUCGGCACCACAUAUACUAAAAUUGGAACCCUACAGAGAUUAGCAUGGCUCCUGUGCAAGGAUGACACACAAAUUCUUGAAACGUUCCAUACUUUU
ensembl:snRNA U6 U6 spliceosomal RNA